UACAGUGUAGUGCAGUGAUUUGCUUGUUGGACUAGGAUUCUGGAGACCAGGGUUCAAAUCCCUGUUGUUGUAG